AGGACCAAAUAAAAUGACAGGAGUAAAAGAGUAAAACAGCAGUACAGACAGGGAACAUGGCGCUGAAAACAGCACACGGCGCUGUACGGUGCUGGUGGCGGCUGUGGACGGUAACCCGAGUGAAAGGAAUGUAGCCCAAAAAAUGUACCUAACUUUAUUUAGGAUUGGAGUAAAGAGUCAUACACAAUAAACAAUAACAUUUCUGAAGUAAAAAUUCUAGUAAGUUUAAAAGUGAGCGAGCAGAAAAACUCGAUAUACAUGUAUUUCUCCGCAGUGUAAAGACUUGUGUGUGCGGUGAUGUCGCACAGUUCCCGCACCACCUCACUGUUUCCCCGAGGCCUGGACUAAAAGGGAGUAAAAGGGCAGGAUUGUGGAGGUCUCCAGCGCCGCCAGGCUCCUCAGCCCACUCUCAGCUCCUCUCUCCAUUUUAUCACCGCAGCUUUUCUCCAACUUUCCUCCUCUUCAAACUCAUCCUUAAACUCUCUCUAACACACACAUGAGGAACUGAAGAAUCCCACACGAACUUGUUCAGACUUCGACCAUGUAGUGUCUCGUUUUCGCCGCGGUGUUUUCAGAGCAGAAGCACCUUCUCCCCCGUACACGGAGUUUUUUUCUCUUUUGGAGGAGUUCGGCUUGUUUCGACCCCUGCAACAACUACAGUGAAGCCAGAAGCAGUCAACAUGGCCGAUAGCGGCAGACAGAGGAGGUACAUUACUGUCACAGGGGAAACUGCAAGACUUCUGAAAUAAAGAUGAACAUUGUUAGAGCAAUAAACUUGAAUAAACUUGAAGAACAUCAGUUUCGGUCAAAGAGAAUAAACUUUCAGAGUAACAGAAAAAACUUUAAAAACACAA